UAAGCCUUAAAUUAGAACUUAGCAUGUGUAAGCAGUUGAUUAAACAUAUUCUAUAGCGAACGAGUUAAAGUAGUGUUUAAUAAUGUUUAUAAUUAUAUAGGGAUAUUUGUCUUCUAAGACAAAUAUUUGAUUAGGUUUAAUAAUACAAAUAACUAAACAACUAAAUCAGUUAUUAAUCUACUUUAUUAUUAAGUGUAUAUAUGAAUAUAUUCUAUGUGUAUAUUUUAUGUGCUCCUAUUUAUAAGUGGUAUUUUGUUGACAGGUUAUCAAUGAUGUAGCACAACCAGCAUCAUUAUUCAAACGACCUGACCCACAGUCGGGCCGUUAUUUGUGUGAGAAUGUUUUUAUAAACAUCGGGAUCUUCACAUCCCUCCAGGUGAUCCCUGAAUAAAGACCUUAAACCCCA